ACGGCAUCAGCAAGCCACUGGACAUGCGUGGAGUGACGUCAUCAAAAGAUAAAAGCUGCCUACGCUGAGACGAAUUGUCUUUUACUGUUUUCUACCCGGAGCUGGCAGGCUGUGUGUGAGGCAUAUGGAGAUGAAAAUGAAAAAAACGGGGUUGAUAAUUAAAGUGGAGCUGGUCAACAGCUUAAAAUGGCCUGUCUGGGGCUGAAUAUUGCAUUGAAGUUGCAGGGAACUGCAUCACAUACUGGAGCACAGUAAUGUGCAGAUGGUUGAUCUGUCCAGCAGGGGAUGGUAUAUUGAAGCUGCUGUUAGCACCCCAAUGCAGUAAUGUGAAAUAGGGUAUAAUUUCACAGAUUUUUUACUUCCUUUCACUGUUGCCCUGCAAUUUUUAAAAUUUUGUAUUGUGGCUGGAAGAACUCCAGCCACAAUAUUCCUGCUUAGUUUUCCUCCCCUGGAUGGACCUGUGCAUGCAAGCCGUUCAGCGAGGCUGAGCCUGUCUGUGGCACUGUCCUUUCCUUGAGUGCUUGCUAGAGAAACACUGGGGUGGUUUGAGGCCUUGGCAUGCCUGAUCCGUGACAAGGUUAUAGGUAAACCUCAGACAACUUCUAAACUCCCCGGGUCAAUUGCACUGAACUCUCAGUAGCUACUAACUUGCGAUCAUCUCGUAGUGGAAAUGACCUCUGUCAGAAGUAGAGCUAAAUAUUGCAUUCCAGUUGCUGGCAAUCCGGUCUCUUACUGAAGCACACUGUUGUGAACAAGGUGCAGAUCAACAGGUUGAUCUGUCCAGCAGGGGAUGGUAUAUUGAAGCUGCUGCUAGCACCCCCAAUGCAGUAAUGUGAAAUCGGAUCGAACUGUGAGGACUGCGCACCCAGCCACAUUGAGGAUCACAGGACUUGCCAGUUCCCUUUAUUGGGCUGAAGAGGGGAAGUAAUGGGUGGUGUUGAAAUCUAAUUGCAAUAAAAACACAUGCACUGUAUUUUUAUAAGCCAAUAAAGUUUUUAUAGAA